CUUAGAAAUGAUCUUCUCUCCAUUCCUCCUCCAACUUCAUUAUCGAUUUUCAAAUCUCCAAUUAUACUCUUCCUCCUCCAUAUAAUUCAAUUUGAUUGAUCAUUUGUUUUGCUGGAAAAAAGGGGAUUGGUGGCACUGAAGAAAAUAUUUUCAAUACAAAAUUGGAUUAGUAGAUCCAGGUAAUUCAACAGGAGUUUCGUUAUUACCACAUGGAGUUUGAGUUAUCUAUGGUGAGCCUCCUUACUUUUAGAGGAUUUCAUUUACUUAUAAGUUGUUAGGAAGUCGUGGAUCUUGUACCGACUUCCAUCUUUGUCAUUUAGAGGCUUCAUAGAUAGACAAUAGAGUUUCAAAAGUCAAUUCAUUUAUUUUGUUAAUUAUUUUGAAGAUAGAAGUUGCCCAUUUUAGGGCGAGUUGAAUAUAUUAUAUUAUUCGAAGUUUUCUUUUGAGUUAAAUCUU